AACGAACGCUGGCGGUAUGCUUUACACAUGCAAGUCGAACGGGCAAGAGCCGUAGCAAUACGGAGUUCUGCUAGUGGCAAACGGGUGAGUAACGCGUGGGAAACUACCUUAUAGUACGGAAUAGCCCCGGGAAACUGGGAUUAAUACCGUAUACGCUCUUCGGAGGAAAGAUUUAUCGCUAUAAGAUGUGCCCGCGUUAGAUUAGCUUGUUGGUGAGGUAAUGGCUCACCAAGGCGACGAUCUAUAGCUGGUUUGAGAGGAUGGUCAGCCACACUGGAACUGAGACACGGUCCAGACGUCUACGGGAGGCAGCAGUGGGGAAUAUUGGACAAUGGGCGAAAGCCUGAUCCAGCAAUACCGCGUGAGUGAUGAAGGCCUUAGGGUUGUAAAACUCUUUCAGUGGGGAAGAUAAUGACGGUACCCACAGAAGAAGCACCGGCUAACUCCGUGCCAGCAGCCGCAGUAA
rnacentral:rRNA from 1 species